AGAGUUUGAUCCUGGCUCAGAACGAACGCUGGCGGCGCGGAAAGACAUGCAAGUCGAGCGCUCAUCCGUUUGCAGCAAUGUACGCGGGUGGGAGCGGCGCAAGGGUGCGUAACGCGUGGGUAAUUUGCCGUGAAGUUGGGAAUAACUCCGAGAAAUCGGAGCUAAUGCCGAAUGUGGUUGCCUGGGGGCAUCUCCGGGUUACUAAAGUUGGGGACCGAAAGGCCUGACGCUUCACGAUAAGCCCGCGCCCUAUCAGCUAGUUGGUGAGGUAACGGCCCACCAAGGCUAAGACGGGUAGCUGGUCUGAGAGGACGACCAGCCACACUGGAACUGAGACACGGUCCAGACACCUACGGGUGGCAGCAGUCGAGAAUUUUUCACAAUGGGCGCAAGCCUGAUGGAGCGACGCCGCGUGGGGGAUGAAGGGCUUCGGCCCGUAAACCCCUGUCAUUUGCGAACAAUUCUUUUCCGAUAACACCGGAAAAGUUGAUGGUAGCGAAAGAGGAAGGGACGGCUAACUCUGUGCCAGCAGCCGCGGUAAUACAGAGGUCCCAAGCGUUGUUCGGAUUCACUGGGCGUAAAGGGUGCGUAGGUGGUGAGGUAAGUCGGAUGUGAAAUCUCUGAGCUCAACUCAGAAAUGGCAUUGGAAACUACCUUGCUAGAGGAUUGGA
rnacentral:rRNA from 1 species